CCGGUCGGGUAAAACGGCGCCAUAUUAACCUUUAAAUCUAAACCUUAACGGUUUUCUUUGUUGUGGCGCGGAGGAUACGUGAUGAAAACUUUGUGUUUUAACAAAAAUCAAUUA